rnacentral:rRNA from 1 species
UAAACUAGGAUUAGAUACCCUAUUAUUUUAAAUGUGAAUUUAAAAUGCUAAAUUAGUAUUAGUUAUGUUCUUGAAAAUUAAAAAAUUUGGCGGUAUUUUAGUCUUUUCAGAGGAACCUGUUCUGUAAUUGAUAGUCCACGAUUAGAAAAACUUUACUUAUUAGUUUACAUAUCGUCGUAGUUUGAAUAUUUUAAUAGAAAUAUAAUAUUCAGAGUUUUAUAUUAAAAAAUAAAUCAGAUCAAGGUGUAGUUUAUAGUAAAGGAGAGAUGGGUUACAAUAAAUUUAUUUUAGGAUAAUUUUUUUUAAAAUAAUUUGAAUGUGGAUUUGAGAGUAAUUUUAAAAUAUUUAUUUAAAAUGAUUAUAGCUCUAAAAUAUGUACACAUCGCCCGUCGCUCUUAA